rnacentral:rRNA from 1 species
GACGAACGCUGGCGGCGUGCUUAACACAUGCAAGUCGAACGGGAAGACAUGAAGAGCUUGCUCUUUAUGAAAUCCAGUGGCAAACGGGUGAGUAACACGUAAACAACCUGCCUUCAGGAUGGGGACAACAGACGGAAACGACUGCUAAUACCGAAUACGAUUCUUGAGUCGCAUGACACAAGAAAGAAAGGGUGGCCUCUACUUGUAAGCUAUCGCCUGAAGAGGGGUUUGCGUCCGAUUAGGUAGUUGGUGAGGUAACGGCCCACCAAGCCGACGAUCGGUAGCCGGUCUGAGAGGAUGAACGGCCACAUUGGAACUGAGACACGGUCCAGACUCCUACGGGAGGCAGCAGUGGGGAAUCUUCCGCAAUGGGCGAAAGCCUGACGGAGCAACGCCGCGUGAGUGAAGACGGCCUUCGGGUUGUAAAACUCUGUGAUUCGGGACGAAAGAUAAGCAGACGAAUAAUCUGCAUAAGUGACGGUACCGAAAAAGCAAGCCACGGCUAACUACGUGCCAGCCGCCGCGGUAA